GAUGAACGCUGGCGGCGUGCCUAAUACAUGCCAGUCGAGCGAACAGACGAGGAGCUUGCUCCUCUGACGUUAGCGGCGGACGGGUGAGUAACACGUGGAUAACCUACCUAUAAAACUGGGAUAACUUCGGGAAACCGGAGCUAAUACCGGAUAAUAUAUUGAACCGCAUGGUUCAAUAGUGAAAGACGGUUUUGCUGUCACUUAUAGAUGGAUCCGCGCCGCAUUAGCUAGUUGGUAAGGUAACGGCUUACCAAGGCAACGAUGCGUAGCCGACCUGAGAGGGUGAUCGGCCACACGAGAACUGAGACACGGUCCAGACUCCUACGGGAGGCAGCAGUAGGGAAUCUUCCGCAAUGGGCGAAAGCGUGACGGAGCAACGCCGCGUGAGUGAUGAAGGUCUUCGGAUCGUAAAACUCUGUUAUUAGGGAAGAACAAAUGUGUAAGUAACUAUGCACGUCUUGACGGUACCUAAUCAGAAAGCCACGGCUAACUACGUG
rnacentral:rRNA from 1 species